GACGAACGCUGGCGGCGUGCUUAACACAUGCAAGUCGAACGGAAAGGCCCCUUUGGGGGUACUCGAGUGGCGAACGGGCGAGUAACACGUGAGUAACCUGCCCUUCACUUCCGGAUAACUUCAGGAAACUGGGGCUAAUACCGGAUAGGAAUCCUUGCUGCAUGGUGGGGGUUGGAAAGCUUCGGUGGUUUUGGGUGGAUUCGCGGCUUAUUAGCUUGUUGGUGGGGUAGUGGCUUACCUAGGCUUUGACGGGUAGCCGGCCUGGGAGGGCGACCGGCCACAUUGGGAAUGGGGAACGGCCCAGACUCCUACGGGGAGCAGCAGGGGGGGAUAUUGCACAAUGGGCGGGAGCCUGAUGCAGCAACGCCGGGUGGGGGGUGACGGGCUUCGGGUUGUAAACCGCUUUCAGCAGGGGCGAAGCUGGUGGUGACGGUACCUGCAGAAGAAGCACCGGCUAACUACGUG
rnacentral:rRNA from 1 species